UGACUACCAGGCUCCCUUUCUCUUGCCAGCCUUGUUCUUCAGAGGGUUCUUUAGGCUCUUCCAGCAGGACUCCUAUUCACCUUGAGGUGAAAACCCAGUUCCCCGUCUUCUGGGGAAAGGGGACUUGGCUGCUCCUCCAGCUCAGCUCACCUGUUAGCACAGUCCUAAUAGCAGAGGUGCAGGGAGGAGAGCCCAGUAAUCAGGGCAGCUUUGUCUCAUACAUAUAAAGUGCCCCUUGGCCCUGGUAAUAGUCAAUCCCAUUCAUAGAAGGCCCCAAUAACUCUUGAAAAACAAACCAAGGAAGUCAGAAGAUGAAAACGAGUCUGGGCACGUUUUUCUUUGUCCUUUCUUUUUUCAGUUUCUCUGAGUUGAAGAAGCUUGAGCUUAAAUGCCCCAGAUUCUCCCAGCAGAUAAAUCGAAAGCAAACAAAAGAGACUGAAAAGACACACUGAAGGUUCUCAAAAGUAUGGUAUUCAGAAAUGCCCACCUCUCAGUAAAACUACAGAAAGGUGUAAAGAGGCAGGCGCUGUGACUCUAAGAGGUCAGCCUUCUGAGAGGUUGCAAAGACGGGAGACGGGAGACGGAGAUAGAAGGGUCUGAAUCUUCACCCCGGUAUUGACUGUGCUCCACAUAAUCUAUUAAGUCGUGUGCUUAUUCUGUGUCUCUCCUCAAACUGGGUUUAUUUUAGGUUACUUUACUUACGUUUUACUUUUAUGACAAAAGUGUCCGAGCGUCAGUUUUCCAGAGGUGGAACAGCUGGAUCUUUUAGGAUGCAGCUCCUCCGUGGGUCACUUAUUUUCCUGAUGAUGAACCACGUCUGGGCUUGUCAGCUGUGACCAAACUGUUUGAUGGAGGAAUGUUUAGGGAUGAGUUGCUCUAUGUCUAUGGUUUCUGAGGGUUCAGUUUAUGACACCCUGGUUCCAUGGGCUUGGGCAGAACAUCAUGGUGGCAGAAGUAUUAGAAAGGGAGUUCACUUAUCUUAUGACAGAGGAAGCUGAGAGACAGGAUGGGAUCAGAAGCACGAUAUCCCAAGGUUCACCCCCAGUAAGCUACUACCUCCAGCUAAGUUCCAUCUCCUAAGGUUUCAAGAACCUCACAAAACAGCAUCACCAGCAAAGAGCUUUGCUGAGGCAUAAGAAACGCUGGAAGAGACUUCAUAUUUAAACUGCAGGGAUAGGAUCCUAAAUCUAAAGGCUAACCCCUGACUAUGUUCCACAAGUGGCAUGAAGGAGCUUGGAGGAAACAUGGCCUGCGUUUUAUUCCUUCAAGCAGGUGAAUUACCUCAGUAGACAUUGUUGUGCUUUGCAUGAACUGAAUCAUACCUUCAGACCCGUUCCUCCCACCCCCGCCCAUAGUGUUGGGGGAAGCGGGGUUGUAAUUGAUCCAAAAGCCUUGCCUGCUUAAGGGAGUUCAUAGUAUUUUCCACCAAAGCAAGGCUGCCUCUUGCCUUUUGAGUCCCUUAGGAGCUGUCACUACCUGCCUGUCACUAAGCAGAGCUGUAACUUUCCUCUGCUUCACAGGGGACAGUCACAGGUACUGCCUGUGAUGUGACUCUGACUAAUAUGAAUUCUAGGAACUACCUCUUCCAAGUAAUGAUGUGCUGCUGGUCCUAGCACGUUCAUCAGGGACUCAAAUAUUGUCCCAGUGUCUCUAAAUGCCUGCCUGUGGACCGCUGUCUGGGUGUGUGUGUGUGUGUGUGUGUGUGUGUGUGUGUGUGCCUGUUUGGAGAAAGACAGUCAGUUGCUAGGCAAUGCUUCUCCAACAAGGAGAGUGUGAAAAAAAAUAAAUAAACAGAUGAUGGGAAUGUGGUCCAAAGCUUGUUAUGACAAGAGCACUUGGGUGCAGUUCACUCCCGCUUGAUGGGAGUGUCACGGGGAUGUCAGAGCUUGCUCAGCUCCCUUAUGAGUUCCUUGCCUUUCAGCUCCUCGCCCUCUGUCUUAUGUGGUGGGGAAAGCAGAGAUGAAAUAUGGCUCUCUGGAGGGCUGUGCCUUUGUGAAAGGCUAUUAUAGCUGUAACAAAACUUUUGUAAUCUGUAACCAUAUCCCAUUACAUCUCCAGGCUCCUUGGGUCUCUUCCCAGCCUUAAGGAAAACACACACACGCCCUUUUCUUCCUUUCCUUCUUGCGUUCUUCCUUGCACCCUUGCUAGUUUCCACUCUUUAAAAGGUCAUCCUAGUUGUUCUUUUUACACAGAUUUUUCUCCUUAGCAUUUGAUGGAAAUUGGCCCUAGGUCUCCACAAAGGCUGGGUGGUAUCUGGGCUAUCACUGAACAAGUGGAGGAAACAGGGACUGACCCCAGAUGAGUUUACUUGGGUCAGGGGUUGCAGGGGUUGCUUAACCUUUCUUCUGACCAAAAGAACUAGUCUUUCUUGAGCCUAGACUGUCUUCACACCCUAUUAUUGUCUUCAUUCUUGCUUUGGAGGAAAUUAAUUGGCUUAGAGGUGAAGGAGCUAGUUAAAAAUCAGACCUGGGGUCCUGACUCAAGUGUACUAGUUACUAGCUACACAUCCUUAGGAAAUAACAUCCUAUCUCUCUGCUUCCUCACAUGCAUAAAGAGGUUCCUGUUAACUGCCUUGUUGUUUGAGGGUUACGGGAUGAUCCAUGCCAAAUGCUGUGGAGAGUACACGGAACAUGGAGUACCCUUGGAUACUUACUGUUGAAGCUCGGGACAGUACAUGUGCUUGGGGAAGAAGGACAGCGGCCUGACCCUCAGCAUUCUACCUGCUACUAAAAACCCCUCUCAUGCUUUGAAGAUCAGAGCUCCGGGGUGGGAGGAAGAAGAAGAAGAAGAAGAAAAAACAAAAAAACCAAAGAAACAAAUUCAGAAACAAAGCAAAACAAUGUAAAGGCACCCCCUACCCCACCUCGCCCUCACUCUGUUGUAACAGGUUCACGAAUGACAUCAUUCUUCUGUCUGCUGAAGGAUGCUUCUGAACACCCUGACAGAGUUUUGAGCCAGUUCAGAACUGCCUAGGGUUUGCACCAGGACAACAAGUGUGCUUUUCCAUGGGACUUCCAACUCCCUUGGGGCUGCAGAGCCUCCAGCCUGAAUCUGAAAGCUCGGUCCCCCUGGGUUCAUCAAAGGUGCUGAAUCUCAGUCCGGGCUGAUGUAUGGUGCUUUAGAUUGUCCAUUUACCCCAUAAAGGUUCAGUUCCCAUGUUGGCCAGUCACGGGAUGCCUUCUCAGCUCCAGUGAACUCCUGUGUCUCACGGGCAGUUCCUCCUGGAUCCUCUCUUCUGCCUUUUCCUCAUCAGCCUCACCCUUGGCAGGCUCCCUGUGAAAUUCAGCCUCCAUCUUCUCUCUCCCUCAGAAGCUGGAACAUGUUCAUGCCGAAUUCCCGAUUUUCUCAACUUUGCCAAAACCCAAAGGCCCACAUCCGCCAUGUGCCAAAAAGGAGAGGUUGUUUGAAAGAAUGCAUGAAUGACCUUGAACCUUUGCUCCACACCCCAGUGACAGGUUCACUCCUUCCCUGCCACACCCAGCACACAGGCUUCGUGUGGGAUCAGGGAAUGUUUCCUGGCCUCUUUUCCUUUCCCCUCUCCACCACCCUUCCUCAUGAACACUACUCAGUCGUUCCCUCCCCGUUACCUCUCUUAUGGAAUAUUAAUCAGAGAGUUGACAUCCCAGGGCAGCAAGGGGCUUAGGGAGGACAUUCAACCCAGAUUCCUGCUUCCUGGCAACAGCCAUUCCUGCCUGGGUGAAGGACUCCUUCUUUCAGAAAUGUAUUUUAGAAAUAUUAAGAACUCAUUAAGGAAAAAUUUAGAAAUCAUUAAGACUCUGUUCCCCCCCCCCCAACCCCGCCUUGGUGUCUUUGAAAUGUAAUUAAAAAAAUGUUUGCUUUCUUAGUAUGUCAAAGAAAUAGCAUCCCUCCCAUAUUUUUUACAGCACAAUUCACAAAAUCGGAGAUUUGGAAUCUACUAGGUAUUCAAACGCAGAUGAAUUAGUGAGGGACAUGCCGUGUGUAUAUACAAUGGAAUAGCAUGCCACCUUAAAGUAGAAUGGCAUUCGGUCAUCGAAAACAAUACUCAGAUGAGCAGGAGGAUGUUAUGUUAGCUGGAAUAAGUCAGGCAUAGAAAGAGACAUACUGCAUGUUCUCACCUCUGUGUAAAAGUAAAUACCAGAAUAGUGAUUACCAAAGGCUGGGAAUACUGUGUGUGCUGGGCAUGGGGGAUGGAGAGAACCAUGCGAUUGAAUGAAAAAAAAAAACAGCACUAAUCUUCACAGAGUCUAACUACACAUGGUAAGUAAAUGAUGUAUUCCAAAUGAGCAGAAUUUUGGAUGCUUUUAACACAAAUGAAUGACAAAUGUUUGAGAUGAUAUUGACAAUUGUCUUAAUUUGAUCCUUUGUUGUAAUUUGACUAUACAUAUGUAUAUCACUGUAUAUUCAUAAACAUACAUUCCAAUUGCAAACUUAAAAUGUUUCAAGGAGUCAUUGAGAUGGUUCAGUAGGUGAAAGCACUUGUUGAUACAUUUGAUGACUCAAGUUCAAUCCCAGGACCUACCUGGUUGAAAGCCUCUGCUGACUCUUGCAAGUCGUCCUUUGACCAUCAUAAGCACGUUGUGGAGUGUAUUUGUUCACAGGAAGGAAGAAGGGAAGGAAGGAAGGAAGGAAGGGAGGGAGGGAGGAAGGAAGGAAGGAAGGAAGGAAGGAAGGAAGGAAGGAAGGAAGAAAGGAAGGAGGUGGUGUUCUCUUCUGGCAGAUGUUCACCAACAACCCUUUCCCUAUGUCAGGCAGAGUUCUUGGGGCACUGGAUAUGACGAUGGGAUUUUAGAGGUAAAGACUACAGGCAGCCAGAGGUAGCUCUUCUGUGGAGUAUGUGACAGAGCUAUAGUCAGAUGCCAAGAAUGGAGGUUAAACAGGAGUUGUUGCAAAUCUAUCAUGAGGCCUUCUGACAUGCAAAUGACUCCGUGCUUGUAAAUAACACCCUAGUAACUCAGCUCUAAAUGCAGGCAUCACAGGAUGAAAUAUUUUGGACCCAGAGGUUGAUGACUGAUUUUGAUUUACUGAGUAUUGUUUGACUCUAGCUCUGCUGUCCUGAGGGCUAAGCAUAGACAUGCAAGAUUCCUUCCCCUGCCUCCAGGGAUCUAAAGGGACAAAAGGGUCAUCUUUCUUUGACCUUGGGCUCUUAAGAGAACAGAUGCCAAGCCCUCUGCCUUCCUUGGUAGGGUUAUCUUGUUAGGGCUUCCAUUGCUGGGAAGAGACACCAUGACCAAGGCAACUCUUAUAAAGGCAAACAUUUAAUUGGGGCUGGCUUACAGUUUCAGAGGUUUAGUCCGUUAUCAUCAUGGUGGGAAGUAUGGCAGCGUGCAGGCAGACAUGGUGCUGGAGGAGCCUCAGAUUUCUACAUCUUAAUCUAAAGGCAGCUAGAAGGAGACAGUCUUCUACACUGGGUAGAGCUUGUGCACUAGGAGACCCCAAAGCCCACCGACACAGUGAUACACGUCCCGCAAGGCCACACCUAUUUUAACAAAGCCAGACCCCUAAUAGUGCCACUUCCCAUGGGCUAGGCAUAUUCAAACUACCACUGGGGCAUAUGUUCUGAAAACCCACUCUUUCCUUGUAUUGUAUUUACAUUUUACUUCUUAUCUCUCUAGUUUGUCUCAUCCCUUUAAGGAUUUAGAUGUGCACCUUUUUUCACCAUCCAACUACAUUUUUAGCAUUUGAAGUUUUGUUGUUUUUAGAGAUUUAUUUUAUGAUCCUUUGUGUGUGUGUGUGUGUGUGUGUGUGUGUGUGUGUGUGUGUGUGUGUGUGUGUGUAUCUUUAUGUCUCUCUCUGUGUGUUUGCAUGUA